AAAAGGGAGAGGAGACAGCGUGUCUCCAGGUGCUCAUUUGGCAGGGAGUGUGUGUGCACGCACAGGUAUCCCAGCUUAGGUAGGCCGGGCUCUGAAUUCAGCCCCCUGAUGGAGGCUGGAAGACAGAAGGAGGAUUAGCCCUAAGCAUUAGGCUUUCUCAGGAACCCGGGUUGGGGAAAGGGUAAAGAGGAAAGGGGG